rnacentral:sRNA from 1 species
GGGGGACUCCUUGGCGCUUGCGCGCUGUUUUGAUUAAGAUUCGCACCUCUAUCAAAACGGGUAAUCCCGCCUCUUGGCAAGGCCUGACUGUCAGAUCAAGUCUGUACCUCUACACCUCAUACGAGCCUGGAGGAUCGCACGCCGAACGAGGCACACUUCGCUACGCUGCCAGCGAUCCCAUCGUCAGCGUGAUCGCCU